rnacentral:rRNA from 1 species
UACGUAGGGUGCGAGCGUUGCCCGGAUUUUAUUGGGCGUAAAGGGCGCGCAGGCGGCUACGCACGUCCGUUGUGAAAUCGCUCGGCUCAACUGGGCGGGGGUCAGCGGAUACGGCGUAGCUGGAGCAAGCUAGGGGGGCAAUGGAAUUCCCGGUGUAGUGGUGGAAUGCGUAGAUAUCGGGAGGAACACCAGUGGCGAAGGCGGUUGCCUGGACCGACACUGACGCUGAGGCGGCGAAAAGCUAGGGGAGCCAAACGGGG